UACGUAGGGGGCAAGCGUUGUCCGGAUUUACUGGGCGUCAAGAGCGCGUAGGCGGCAAUUUAAGCGUGGCCUGAAGGCCCCCGGCUCAACCGGGGAGUGCGGCUGCGAACUGGGUUUCUUGAGGACGAUAGAGGAGAGUGGAAUUCCUGGUGUAGCGGUGAAAUGCGUAGAUAUCAGGAGGAACACCCGAGGCGAAGGCGGCUCUCUGGGUCGUACCUGACGCUGAAGCACGAAAGCGUGGGGAGCAAACAGG
rnacentral:rRNA from 1 species